UGGUCAAGUUAUUAAGGGUGCAGGGCGGAUGCCUUGGCACUAGGAGCCGAUGAAGGACGUGAUAAGCUGCGAUAAGCUUCGGGGAGUUGCACGUAAACUUUGAUCCGAAGAUUUCCGAAUGAGGAAACUCACUUAGAGUAAUGUCUAAGUAUCAUUAAGUGAAUACAUAGCUUAAUGAGGGGAACUCAGGGAACUGAAACAUCUAAGUACCUGAAGGAAGAGAAAGAAAUUCGAUUCCGUAAGUAGCGGCGAGCGAACGCGGAUUAGCCCAAACCAAUAAAGUUUUCUUUAUUGGGGUUGCGGACAUAUCAUAACGAAGAGGUAUCGUAAUUGAAGAGGUUUGGAAAGACCCACCACAGAAGGUAAUAGUCCUGUAU
rnacentral:rRNA from 1 species